rnacentral:rRNA from 1 species
UCCUACGGGGGGCAGCAGUGGGGAAUAUUGCACAAUGGGGGAAACCCUGAUGCAGCGACGCCGCGUGAGUGAAGAAGUAAUUCGUUAUGUAAAGCUCUAUCAGCAGGGAAGAAAAUGACGGUACCUGAGUAAGAAGCCCCGGCUAACUACGUGCCAGCAGCCGCGGUAAUACGUAGGGGGCAAGCGUUAUCCGGAUUUAUUGGGUUUAAAGGGUGCGUAGGCGGAUCGUUAAGUCAGUGGUCAAAUUGAGGGGCUCAACCCCUUCCCGCCAUUGAAACUGGCGCUCUUGAGUGGAAGAGAAGUAU